GGCGAGAUUCCCGAGCGGCCAAAGGGGACGGACUGUAAAUCCGUUGGCAAUGCCUUCGUAGGUUCGAAUCCUACUCUCGCCACCA
rnacentral:tRNA from 1 species